AUGAUAGUGGAAAGUCUUGUUCCUCUGAAGAGGUAUAUGUAGCCACAUUGAAUUUUUUGUGUGUAGCCUUUUAUGUUUAUCUUGAAUAAUGUAUGUUGCUUGAGAAUGAUUACUGUAAUUGCUUUUCAUGUCUGCUACAUGUUUAUAUAUAUUUAAAUUGUUAGCUGACUUAAUCCUGGUGUAUUGUUGAUAACUAAUUGUCAUUGAGAUUGGUUUCUAAUUUAGCAAUAUUUAAGCAGACUAGAUAGAUCUCCACAAUUUCAAAUUAUUCCUUAUUAUGUCUAUUUGUGUAACCAUAGAUUAGGUCCUAGGAGUUAAGAUUGUAAAGUUAUUAUGUUAUUAUUGAUUAAUCUGCAGCACACCCAAAAAAUUAUUGUCAACUCUGAUCCAAUGGUUUGGUUUAGUAGGAUAAUAGGAAGUAGGAAUUAUUUGUGGAUCUGAGUGUUAAGUGUUCAUCUUCUUGAAGUUGGCCCUUCACAGCUGUCUACUCUAGGCUAUAUCCAGCUUUCUAUUUUAAAUUAGGCAUCAUUUAAAGUUUGCCGACAUGUUGCUGAUAAAAGUUUUUACUUUUCAUGAAUGAAUGUUUUCGGAUACAUUAACCUGCACUAUGGUAGUUUAAUAUAGGUUCUUGAUAUUAAUAACAAACAGGAAAUAUGAGUUAAGGGACAUUCUUAGCUAAUUGGUGUAGACAUAUACAUUGUUGAUGUCUUAGAGGCCAUGCUUGCUAGUUGCUAUACAAGUUGCUCGACGGGUAUGAGUUCAAGGAUGGGUGGAAAGAGUAUGUGCAGAGUUAUGAGAGAAAAGGUUAGGUAUGUUGGUGAUGGUUUUGGAUUUAUGCAUUAGCAAUGAAGAAGAUGUCCUAGUUGAAUAAAAGUUUAAGUUUAUUUUUGUUAGGGAACCGAGUAUAAGGAUUCAAUUUAUGAUGCUACUCCUGCUUUUGAAUCUUAUGGAGUUUGUCAUGGAUCUGAAGUAUUAAUAGGAGAGCCAUUGAACUUGAAUCUGUUGCUGGUGCUUACUGGAGAGGAGAUGUAAACAGGCCAGUGCAACAAAGGAUUUAUGGCACAGCAUGGGAAAAUGAAGAACAUCUGAAAGCUUACCUUCAUUUCAAAGCAGAAGCUCUACGGCGGGAUCACUGACGUCUUAGCCAAGAACUUGACCUGUUUUCCAUAGAGGAAGAAGCUUUGACCAUGAUGGAUACAAGCAAAUCGUUCAAAAUCCUGCCAGGCUAAGCAUUUCCUUUGGGAGCUUCAGAAGUGGAGAAUGGAAUAAAUUUUGCAAUUUUCUCACAACAUGCAAGCUCAGUAACUCUUUGCUUAUUGCUUCCUCCCACCGGCUGGUGAUUAUGCAUCUCUUUUAUCGUUAUUGUUAUAUUGAUUAUGUGUGCCUUACAUAACUUGUAUAGCUUGGUUUUUAACUGUCCUCCUUGAUUGUGUUAAAAUCUGCAAACCAAAGGGUUGAGGUACUGUGAUAUACUGUAAUUAUAUUUCUUUUAGUUUAAUUAUAUUUCUUUUAUUUUUUUCAAUUUUACGUAGUGUAGGUGCAUGGGGAGUCAAAUGGAGCGGAAGUAUAGUGACUAGCCAUCUAACAAAUGGUGCAUAUAUGUUGGCGACUCUCAUUCAAGUUCUGGCUUUGUGAAGAUUUGGAUAUUUCGGCUUAUAUAUAUGUUGACAAUUUGUAUUUUGGACGAUCAAAUUAAUUAUGUAACUUUUAUUUAUUAUUAGUAGGGUAUGUCAUUCCAAAAAUAGGCAAGUAAUAUUUUGUAAUGUACGUAUUUUGCAUUAUAAUUAUUAUAUAUAAAUGAUACUUUAAUUUGUUUAUGUUAGUAUAUUUAGAUUUGUACUGACUAAUUAAUAUUAUAUUACCAUUCCAUCCCAACAAAAAAAAAAAAAAAAAA